rnacentral:rRNA from 1 species
UUCACGGAGAGUUUGAUCCUGGCUCAGGAUGAACGCUGGCGGCGUGCUUAACACAUGCAAGUCGAACGGUGAAGGAGAGCUUGCUCUCCGGAUCAGUGGCGAACGGGUGAGUAACACGUGAGCAAUCUGCCCCUGACUCUGGGAUAACAGUUGGAAACAGCUGCUAAUACCGGAUACGAGCUUCGAAGGCAUCUUCAGAAGCUGGAAAGAACUUCGGUCAGGGAUGAGCUCGCGGCCUAUCAGCUAGUUGGUGAGGUAAUGGCUCACCAAGGCGUCGACGGGUAGCCGGCCUGAGAGGGUGACCGGCCACACUGGGACUGAGACACGGCCCAGACUCCUACGGGAGGCAGCAGUGGGGAAUAUUGCACAAUGGGCGAAAGCCUGAUGCAGC